AUUGAACGCUGGCGGCAGGCUUAACACAUGCAAGUCGAGCGAGCGGCGGACGGGUGUGUAAUGUCUGGGAAACUGCCUGAUGGGGGGGGAUAACUUCUGGAAACGGUAGCUAAUCCCGCAUACCAUCAGAUGUGCCCAGAUGGGAUUAGCUAGUAGGUGGGGUAAGGGCUCACCUAGGCCACGAUCCCUAGCUGGUCUGAGAGGAGGACCAGCCAAACUGGAACUGAGACACGGACCAGAGUCCUACGGGAGGCAGCAGUGGGGAAUAUUGCACAAUGGGCGCAAGCCUGAUGCAGACAUGCCGGGUGUAUGAAGAAGGCCUUCGGGUUGUAAAGUACUUUCAGCGGGGAGGCGUUACCCGCAGAAGAAGCACCGGCUAACUACGUGCCAGCAGCCGCGGUAAUUC
rnacentral:rRNA from 1 species